ensembl:lncRNA
GCCCCAACAUAUCACCCGGGGAGGUAUUGAUCAACGCCAAUGACCCAAAAAAGCAGCGUGUGUGUGUGUCCCAGGCCUUGCCCACCCUCCCCCAACCCCGCUGCAACUCGUGGACAAGGCGGCGCGGCGUCCAUUCAUGCGGUGCGCUUUGCGGUGACACAAGACGUGCAUCCGCCACCUGCGAGAAGCACGUCCCCUCGAAGAGCUGUCUGUCUCCCAGCUAAUAGGGCCCGUGAGUGAUAGGGGGGGGGGGGACCCGUCUGCCGCCAUUAUGAAGCACAGGCAAUUUAAAAGGACAUUCACCUUGGGACUAUUUAUAUAUGAACUAGUGCCAGAGAAUAGGCUACUUACUCCAGGGGGCCUUUGCAGUGUGAUUGACUCGCAUGGAUGCCUUGCCGUGAGAGCUCUGGAGAGCCACCAGUGCCCUCUUGUGUCCGUCCCAU